rfam:Aedes aegypti strain Liverpool supercont1.1346 genomic scaffold, whole genome shotgun sequence.
AACCCCCUGACACCUUCAGUUCAACUUGGCGGGAGAACAGGAAUCAGGGGGUUCGAAAGCAGGCGCUGGCCUGUGAGAGAUUAUAACUCAUGCAAUUCAGAAAACAAUACCCCACCGCCAUAAGU